rnacentral:pre_miRNA from 1 species
ACAACAUUCGGACCGUCGGUCUACCGAGCAAUAUCACCCGCUCGGUGGAAGAUCUCACAGGUGGG